rnacentral:rRNA from 1 species
UACGUAGGGUGCAAGCGUUGUCCGGAAUUAUUGGGCGUAAAGAGCUCGUAGGCGGUCUGUCGCGUCUGCUGUGAAAACUCAGGGCUUAACCCUGAGCUUGCAGUGGGUACGGGCAGACUAGAGUGCGGUAGGGGAGACUGGAAUUCCUGGUGUAGCGGUGAAAUGCGCAGAUAUCUGGAGGAACACCGGUGGCGAAGGCGGCAUCCUGGACCAACACUGACGCUGAGGAGCGAAAAGCCAGGGGGAGCCAAACGGG